rnacentral:pre_miRNA from 1 species
GUCACUCUAGGCACCGCAGCACUGUGCUGGGGAUGUUGCAGCUGCCGGGAGUGAUUU